rnacentral:rRNA from 1 species
CAGUCGAGCGGACAGAUGGGAGCUUGCUCCCUGAUGUUAGCGGCGGACGGGUGAGUAACACGUGGGUAACCUGCCUGUAAGACUGGGAUAACUCCGGGAAACCGGGGCUAAUACCGGAUGGUUGUUUGAACCGCAUGGUUCAAAUAUAAAAGGUGGCUUCGGCUACCACUUACAGAUGGACCCGCGGCGCAUUAGCUAGUUGGUGAGGUAACGGCUCACCAAGGCGACGAUGCGUAGCCGACCUGAGAGGGUGAUCGGCCACACUGGGACUGAGACACGGCCCAGACUCCUACGGGAGGCAGCAGUAGGGAAUCUUCCGCAAUGGACGAAAGUCUGACGGAGCAACGCCGCGUGAGUGAUGAAGGUUUUCGGAUCGUAAAGCUCUGUUGUUAGGGAAGAACA